GUGGUUCCCAGAAACUAAGAAACCCCUUUAGGGUUUCCACAUCCUCACCUCAUUUUACUCAACGCAGAAGAACACAAAGGGUCUCUCUCGAUGACACUAGCAGCCCCUCAUCUCCGCCGGUAGAAUCCAAGGCUACCAUCUCACCACUCGACUUCUCUGCCACAGACCGCCGUCAAUCAAUGGUGUUGCCGGUGACAUCGCGAGCCGCCAUAGCCACCGAUCGCCCGACGUCAGGCCCUUCCUCCAUUUCGGUUCGUAGAAGUGGGAACUUUCUUCUUCCUCCUCCAUUUAGGUUGUAUUAUUGUAUAACAGAGGGUACAUGGAUAAGGGAAAUUCGAUCCUUUUUGUUUUUGGGAUCUGGGUAGGUUUGUGAUCUAGAGAAGAGAUAUUCAUCGUUGGAGGGGAACCCUCUGUUGCAGCGUUGUUGCUUUUCUUGUUAUUCCUUUUGUAUCAUCAAUCGAGUCAGACUGUGGGGUCUUUCAAAAUUGGAUCUUUACCUUCGAAUUUUGUUGGCAUGGUUUCUGCACGCCUAUGUUUAUAAAUUUUGUAAGUGAUGCAGUAAUCUGAGUUUUUAUGUUAAAGUAAAAAAUUGUUGAUGCUUUGCAUGGUAGAGUGAAUCGUUAUUUUACAUGGAAAUGUUGUCGAAGUUCUUGACCGGCGCAAUGAGAAGGGCUCUUCGUUUUU